UUUCAGUUUUUAUUUUCUGUCAGACAAUGUUUUCAUAUCUUUAGGUGCAGUUCCUAUCCGCAGCCCCCAGUCCUUCAGUUUGCAAAAAAAUACAGUUGAAAAAAUCUGCUCAUUGUGCUAAUCUGCACACGAUUUGUGUGUAUGUUUGUGUUUAGAUUCGCUGAGAAAUCCAGUAUCACCUCUUCACCAGUCCUCUCUCUUCAGUGAUUGGGUACAACACCACUCCAAUCCAUAGUGGCAAUUUUCAUUUCCGUGCAAGUGCCCAUCUAACUUUUGACAUGGCAAGGUGAAGAGAAAACUGGGAUUUGCAUGGAUUAAUCCUUGGAAGAAUUUCUCGUCUCAGUGAAGUUCACAAAAUACAAAUCAGUUUACAAUUUUGACAUUGUGAUAAACAAUGGGUAACAUAGCAUGAAGUUUUUGAUACGAUUUUCUAAAAUCUGAUUUAUUUAGAUAGAACAGAAGGUUAAUACUCACCACAUUGAACUCACUCACCAAUAAAAUAAAAUUAACUACCUGUUGAAAUGUUGCUUACACUAUGAGUUAUUCUUGAAGUCUUGGUUUCAUAUCAAAGAAAAGGUGCCCGUUUUGACCACAGCCUUCUUGGAUCAAGGGGUUGCUUGGCUUGCAAGAAUAUGAAAUGUAGUUGAACCAUGGAAUUGAAUGUAAUUGAUACGGAAUGUAAAACGGAAUAUCAUGAAGUAUUCAUUCCGUAAGGUGGAAAGUGCUAUGCGGUGGACUCCAUCGGUGGACUCCAUAGGCAAUUUUUUCUUUUAUGUUUAUGAUACUUAAUUUUUUUUCUUUUUGCUUCAGAUAUAAAGCAUCAAUUCCAUCAAAUGUUAUGGGACUCAUGUUUGCAUCUAAGGCCGAAAAUGGAAAUAUAACGAAACCAAUUUAAACAGAUAUGGCUACCUGAUAUUAUUAGUGACAUGUCAUGUCUUUACGGUCAAAAAGAAGUCUGAGUGCUCUUUGAAGAAAUUUUGCUGCACUGAGCUCGGAAUUUUCCGGGGUGUAAAUUGUGAUUCUCGAUGGGUUUUCUUAAGAAACCAGUUUACGUUGACGCAGUAAGAGCUUCUAAUUCUAAUGCCAGAGUUCGUACGUUAUGAUUUCGCGAUCGUUUUAUGACAACUAACCACGAAAGAUGUCAUGUAACUGUAUUUUCACGUGUCAGAAAAUUGUACGCAGAAAGAGAUGCUGCAUUUUCGAAGAAAGCUACUUCCACAUCACCGUUGGUCGCUGCCCGUUGUCCCGAAGAUAAAAAAUUACCAUUUUUAUAAAUUAAAGUGCAUAUCUGGGCUCCCUUCUUUUCUGUGGCCCCGUUUCCCCUUGACUCGUAAUAAGCCCGAAGGGGGUUAUGCCCCUACUGUGAUCAGCAGUAAAGGUUGCGAGUGCGCUGCCCGGAAAGGGGACGUGGGGGUCCUCAAGUUCUAUGAUAUCAUUGGAGGGCGAAGAGGCUACCCACAAAUCCGAAAUUAACGGUUAAUCGCUCACGUAAAAACUUGUCCGAAACCACGGAAAUCAGGUU